AUUGAACGCUGGCGGCAGGCCUAACACAUGCAAGUCGAGCGAGCGGCGGACGGGUGAGUAAUGUCUGGGAAACUGCCUGAUGGAGGGGGAUAACUACUGGAAACGGUAGCUAAUACCGCAUACCAUCGGAUGUGCCCAGAUGGGAUUAGCUGGUAGGUGGGGUAACGGCUCACCUAGGCGACGAUCCCUAGCUGGUCUGAGAGGAUGACCAGCCACACUGGAACGGAUACACGGUCCAAACUCCUCAGGGAGGCAGCAGUGGGGAAUAUUGCACAAUGGGCGCAAGCCUGAUGCAGGCAUGCGGCGUGUGUGAAGAAGGCCUUCGGGUUGUAAAGCACUUUAAGCGGGGAGGCGUUACCCGCAGAAGAAGCACCGGCUAACUCCGUGCCAGCAGCCGCGGUAAUAC
rnacentral:rRNA from 1 species